GUGGGGAAUCUUCCGCAAUGGACGAAAGUCUGACGGAGCAACGCCGCGUGAGUGAAGAAGGUUUUCGGAUCGUAAAGCUCUUUCGUUAGGGACGAACGUGCUCUUUGUGAAUAAUGAGGAGUAAUGACGGUACCUAAAUAAGAAGCCACGGCUAACUACGUGCCAGCAGCCGCGGUAAUACGUAGGUGGCAAGCGUUGUCCGGAAUUAUUGGGCGUAAAGCGCGCGCAGGCGGGAUAUCAAGUCUGUCUUAAAAGUGCGAGGCUCAACCUCGUGAGGGGACAGAAACUGGUAUUCUUGAGUGUCGGAGAGGAAAGUGGAAUUCCAAGUGUAGCGGUGAAAUGCGUAGAGAUUUGGAAGAACACCAGUGGCGAAGGCGACUUUCUGGACGAUGUCUGACGCUGAGGCGCGAAAGCUAGGGGAGCGGACGGGAUUAGAAACCCUAGUAGUCC
rnacentral:rRNA from 1 species